rnacentral:rRNA from 1 species
UACGAAGGGGGCUAGCGUUGCUCGGAAUUACUGGGCGUAAAGGGCGCGUAGGCGGCCAACUAAGCCAGACGUGAAAUCCCUCGGCUCAACCGGGGAACUGCGUCUGAUACUGGAUGGCUUGAAUUCGGGAGAGGGAUGCGGAAUUCCAGGUGUAGCGGUGAAAUGCGUAGAUAUCUGGAGGAACACCGGUGGCGAAGGCGGCAUCCUGGACCGAGAUUGACGCUGAUGCGCGAAAGCCAGGGGAGCAAACGGG